UACGUAGGGGGCCAGCGUUGUCCGGAUUCAUUGGGCGUAAAGCGCGUGUAGGCGGCCAGGUAGGUCCGAUGUGAAAUCUGGAGGCUCAACCUCCAGCGGUCAUUGGAAACCAUCUGGCUAGAGUCCGGAAGAGGAGAGUGGAAUUCCUGGUGUAGCGGUGAAAUGCGCAGAUAUCGGGAAGAACACCCGUGGCGAAGGCGGUUCUCUGGGACGGUACUGACGCUGAGACGCGAAAGCGUGGGGAGCGAACAGG
rnacentral:rRNA from 1 species